AUUGAACGCUGGCGGCAGGCCUAACACAUGCAAGUCGAGCGGUAACAGAUCUAGCUUGCUAGAUGCUGACGAGCGGCGGACGGGUGAGUAACGCGUGGGAAUAUACCUAGUAGUGGGGGAUAGCCCGGGGAAACUCGGAUUAAUACCGCAUAAUCUCUUCGGAGGAAGGCAGGGGCUCUUCGGACCUUGUGCUGCUAGAUUAGCCCGCGUCAGAUUAGCUAGUUGGUGGGGUAAAGGCCUACCAAGGCGACGAUCUGUAGCUGGCCUGAGAGGGUGGUCAGCCACACUGGGACUGAGACACGGCCCAG
rnacentral:rRNA from 1 species